rnacentral:misc_RNA from 1 species
GGCUGCUGUUGGUGGCUGGCUGGCAUGGCUUGUUUCUUAAGUUCAUGUUCUUUUUUGUUGUGAUUUUCGUUUUUGGUGAUGAUCGUAUGUACUUAAUGCUGGGAAUUUUGAUUUGCUUCGCCAUGGCUGCCCCUCAGCUGGUUUUUUGAUAUCUUUGGGGUCAGAGAACUUUGAGUUCUUCAAUGAGAGAACACGGUAAUUUGCGGAAGAACUUGAAAGGUUUGGCUUUUGUUCUGCAAGGUGAAUCUGAAGAGGUUGAUUUUUGUUGGAUGGAUGU